rnacentral:lncRNA from 12 species
UCUCCUGCAUCUGCUGCUGACGUGGCAACCCCUGGCUAAUCCUAACCUCUCUGCCUUCCAGAUGGAAAUUCUGGCCCAACUCUGGUUGGCUUGAACUUGAUGCAAGGUCAGUUCAGAGGACAAAAGACAAGGACCUUUCAGCUUGAAGCCAAAGGUGUUACUACUUAGAAUGUAGGGCACACAACACAAGGCUGGGUAGAUGGGGGGAUGACGUUUGGGAGCAUGAAUCUGUGUGGAGACACUUUGGAUCACACCAGACUGAAGGAGGAUCCCCAGGGCCCUGAUCUUAGGACCUAGGGCUGAACGUCCUGUCCCAAGAGCACUUGAUGGAGAGUCUGGGCACAGAGCUCCAGUUGCACUGCAGUGUUUUUGGCCCUAGAGGAUCUAGUGGCUCGGGGAGAGGAAAAGAAGAGAAGAAGAAGAAGAAGAAGAAAAAGAAGAAGGAGAAGGAGAAGGAGAAGGAGAAGGAGGAGAAGGAGAAGAAGAAGAAAGAAAGAAAGAAGAAAGAAAGAAGGAAGAAAGAAGAAAGAAGAAAGAAGAAAGAAGAAAGAAAGCAUCACCAGGCAAAGUGUACCUGUAAUACGAUUGGCCUGUAAACUCCUGGGGUCUCCCAGGUCAAAGGGGUAGGAUUGCUCCUGUCUGUUCCAGUGCGACCCUUCAGUUAUUCUCUUUCCCUUUAAGACCAUCCUUGAAGUUCAUUUUCACCUGAUGCAUUUAUUAAAUAUGGAGAAAACACAGGAUGUGAUUUUUCUUUUCAGUCCUGCUAGGUUUUUCCUUUACCCCUAGCUCCUUUACAGAGUUAGCAAGUGGGGUGUUGGAUGUGGGUGAAAUUGGGGAGCAAGGGAGAAGGGGAAUCGGGCUAUGACAUGUGGAAGAGAGCAGAGAGGAAGGCACAGAAACGUAACAUUCAGCUAAAUAAUGUCUAGUUCCACUUGGUGUUCACGUUCUCAUGUCCUGUUCAAAAGCCCAGAUGAAAUUCCUGUUUGUUCGGGAUGCAGCUGAUGAGUAUUAUGUCUGGAGAGAGUCCCAGAGAAGGUCUUAUACAUCUUUUAUACACCUGCAUGCUAAACGAGCAGAACACCCAGGUGCUGAGUAAGACAUAUGAAUUGUGGUAAAUUAUGCAAACAAGUAAUUUUGCAUGUCCAGAAAGUAGUGCUAUCAGUGGUAUGGUUUUCCUAAACUCUCCAUAAUUUAGAAGAAUGCAAACCAAAUGGCAGUCAAACCUCGACAGGGCCUAAUUGCUCAGCACUGUGUAUCCACUUCGAUAGGUGCCAGUCACCCAGAAGGCUGCUUGCCUGCUAGGGACACUUGUACAGCCUGAGUACAAACCAGUAAAACCCUUCCAGGGGAUUAAUGAAGGCAGGGGGAACCUUAGCCAUGAUGACCCCCCCCCACCCCAGAUGGCAGCAGUAAAAACUGCUUUAUCCAGGGGCCCCGUGGCUAUGCCAAGGCAAAGAUGAUGCAACUAAAGAAAGAGAGACAGGGGGGCUGUGCUGUUGGGGUCGGAGACUUUCAGUAGUGAUAGAGGAUCUAGGCUUGCUACUCAGUGUGGCCUGGGGACCAGCAGAACCAGCGUGACUUGGGAACUUGUACCUA